rnacentral:pre_miRNA from 1 species
AAUAAACCAAUUUUUCACUUUUUACCUAUAAUUUUUAACUAUUCAUCUUAUUUAAAUUUUUUUUGCGACUGAUAUUUUUGUUUUUAUUAGAUGAUAAAUCAUGAAUAAUACUUUACGUGUGACUAAUUUUUUCUAAUUUCCUAAAAAACUUUCAAAUAAAACGAGUAGUCAAAUAUUGGAUACGGAAACCGGAG